rnacentral:lncRNA from 1 species
AAAAUCUUUCGCAUCAGCGUGUCAUUAAGAAUACAACACCUAGUCUUGCGUCCACCCAUCAGUCAGGGGCCUGAACUGAAGACUACAAGACUGUUCAUAGACACACUCGACUGUACUGGCUUUUGCACAGAACCAGGAUCGUGACUCCCAUUCAAGUUUCCAUGUUCUCAGACACUGCGAGACAGCGACGUGUCACAUCCCCUUGAGAUCUCGCAGCGACCCUCAGUACUCGGCAUAGAAAGCAUGAGAAAAUUGGCGUCAGAAUUGAUUGUGUGAAAUACUUCAAUUUCUGGAUCAACAAAAAUGAUCCAUGUAUAUCGAAGAGAGCGUGCGGUCAGAGUAGACUAGUGAAAAUAGGGUUGCUGCAGCCGUGUGGAGCAGACGACCGUGCACAGACGCAAUUGUUGCUUCUGCCUGCCUCAAGUCAGUGGGCAAGUUCGUGGCGGAUCGUCGUGGUGCAGUUUCAGCUGUAAAGUUUAUCCAACACAAGCGAUGUCGCGCAAGGUGGAUCUCCUUUGCACUCAUUUAACAACUUUGAGUUUCGAGUUUUGAACAAGCAGAAUCCUGUCUAUCUACGUCUCGAGUAGCUCCCGAACUUAUGUCUUUCUUUACAGUAUAUGUCUUAUGUGUACACAUUUUCUCUGCCCAAUAUGCCACAAAAUUUGAAAUCGAUUUUCUGUGCUGGUUGAGUUGCACAUUCUGCAUUACAUCACGCGCUUGAAUCCACUUUCCUGACAUAGUUCUGGCGUAUCUUGGGGAUGAAGAAUGUGCAAUCUACUCUUGCCACUGCAAGGCGUCACCCAUCAAGCAAGCUUAGACCAAUGAAGCAUUGGAAUGUCACAGCAUCAGACAAUAACUUCAGAUCAAAACGAGUCGCAUGAAAUCAAAGAUGAUGUCAGUGAGUUCAGCAGAUUCGAGUUGUGAAAAUAACUGCAGCAUGGUCAAGUUACAUGGUUUUGUCUGAUGAUAGUCAGGGAGUAAACAGUUCAAGAGCUUCCACUGAAGUAGCAAUCCUGCAAAAGAUCCACGGUGAUGGUGCCAGCUUCUAGUUCCGUUACUGUCCCCACCACGGUUUCAAGAUGAGAACUAGCAUCUACCCGAUACAGUCCCCGUCCAUGGCUAACAACAUGAGCAUCGACAGCUAUAGCCAUACAUUUCUACGCCAUCCACCCUCCCCUAAUCCGCGGAGGAAAAAGGCUUUGAUAGUGCAGAACCUUAAUAUCACUACCUCAUCACACUCUCUCGUCAGUAUAAUUACUCACAAGUGUAGACUCCUCCCCGGUGGCCUUUUUCUCAAGGAAUUCUAAGCUCGGGUUGGCUUUAGCGGGGCCGACGAUGUUCAUAACGUCACCAACAGCUCCUUACACGUUCAGUUAGUCGUUGGUUCUUCCUCCACCAACCUCAGCUGUUAAUUCUUAACAACAGAAGCAACAGUCUCGCAGUACCUGCAAAAGAGAUGGUCUCCUGUCGCCAAAAACCAAUCAAAGUCUUAAGACAGUGCCCUUGAUGCCUUGGAGUCGUCGAAGCCGGAACACGUCCAGCCCGUCAACGAUAUUGUCUGCGGUUCAAGCUCGCCAGAGCAAGUGCAACAUUCCCAGCAAUUACGAUCGCCUGUGGUGGUGAUGUCAGAGCGAAGAGUAAGACACCAUAGCCGGCGGGGAACGAUGUCCUACACCUCCUGCUAGACCACGAGUUUUAGGGUACCCUGGAUAACACCCUAAAAUUCUAAAACCCUUCGAAACCCUAAAAACUGGCUCGUGUUCUGUGACGAGAUUUGUCGUCGUUCGUGGUGAAGUUUGGAUCGAGUUGGUCUGAGUUUGGGAUUUCAAUUCUUCCAGUUCCGCU